rnacentral:rRNA from 1 species
CGGAGGGUGCAAGCGUUAUCCGGAUUUACUGGGUUUAAAGGGUGUGUAGGCGGGUCUUUAAGUCAGUGGUGAAAUCUCCGAGCUCAACUUGGAAACUGCCAUUGAUACUAUUGAUCUUGAAUUCUGUUGAGGUGGGCGGAAUAAGUCAUGUAGCGGUGAAAUGCAUAGAUAUGACUUAGAACCCCGAUUGCGAAGGCAGCUCACUAAGCAGAUAUUGACGCUGAGGCACGAAAGCGUGGGGAUCAAACAGGAUUAGAUACCCUGGUAGUCCACGCCCUAAACGAUGAUUACUCGACAUACGCGAUACACAGUGUGUGUCUGAGCGAAAGCAUUAAGUAAUCCACCUGGGAAGUACGACCGCAAGGUUG